GUUUGAUCAUGGCUCAGAUUGAACGCUGGCGGGAUGCUUUACACAUGCAAGUCGAACAGCACGGACUUCAGUCUGGUGGCGAGUGGCGAACGGGUGAGUAAUGUAUCGGAACGUGCCUAGUAGCGGGGGAUAACUACGCGAAAGCGUAGCUAAUACGCCGCCCGGCGGGGGAAAGCGGGGGGACGCUGGACCUCACCGCUAUUGAAGCAGCCGAUAUCAGGAUUAGCCAGUUGGUGGGGUAACGGCUCACCAAGGCGACGAUCCGUAGCUGGUUUGAGAGGACGACCAGCCACACUGGGACUGAGACACGAACUCCUACGGGAGGCAGCAGUGGGGAAUUUUGGACAAUGGGGAAACCCUGAUCCAGCCAGCCAUCACGUCAUCGCGAUGAAGGCCUUCAGGUUGUAAAGCACUUUUGGCAGGAAAGAAACGGCACGGGAUAAUACCCCAGUGUAGCUGACAGUACCUGCAGGUCGCGCGACUAACUGCAUUGCACUGCCAGCAGCCGCUUGGUAAUACGUAGGGUGCAAGCGUUAAUCGGAAUUACUGGGCGUAAAGCGUGCGCAGGCGGUUCCGGAAAGAAAGAUGAAAUCCCAAGUAACUUUUUGGAACGCAUUUAACUACCGAGCUAGAGUGUCAGAGGAGGUGGUGCAUGUAGCAGUGAAAUGCGUAGAUAUGCGGAGGAACACCGAUGGCGAGCAGCCUCCUGGGAUAACACUGACGCUCAUGCACGAAAAAGCGUGGGGAGCAAACCUUAAGACUAUGGUAGUCCGCACAACGAUAUCAACUAGCUGUUGGGCCUUCGGGCCUUGGUAGCGCAGCUAACGCGUGAAGUUGACCGCCUGGGAUACGGUCGCAAGAUUAAAACUCAAAGGAAUUGACGGGGACCCGCACAAGCGGUGGAUGAUGAUGGAUUAAUUCGAUGCAACGCGAAACCUUACCUACCCUUGACAUGUCUGGAAUCCCGAAGAGAUUUGGGUGCUGCAAGAGAACCGGAACACAGGUGCUGCGCGGCUGUCGUCAGCUCGUGUCGUGAGAUGUUGGGUUAAGUCCCGCAACGGGCGCAACCCUUAUUGUUAGUUGCUACGAAAGGGCACUCUAAUGAGACUGCCGGUGACAAACCGGAGGAAGGUGGGGACGUCAAGUCACUGGCCCUUAUGGGUAGGGCUUCGCGCAUCUUACAAUGCUGGUCGGGACAGAGGUCGCCAACCCGCGAGGAAGAAUAAUCCAAAACCCGAUCGUAGUCCGGAUCGCAGUCUGCAACUCGACUGCGUGGAAGUCGGAAUCGCUAGUAAUCGCGGAUCAGCAUGUCGCGGUGAAUACGUUCCCGGGUCUUGUACACACCGCCCGUCACACCAUGGGAGUGGGUUUUACCAGAAGUAGUUAGCCUAACCGUAAGGAGGGCGAUUACCACACGGUAAGUUCAUGACUGGGGUGGAGGAAGUCAACUCAAAGACUAG
rnacentral:rRNA from 1 species